GGGCGUGGGCUCGUUAAAUACAUGCAAGUCGAACGAGUUCUCGUUGAUGAUCGGUGCUUGCACCGAGAUUCAACAUGGAACGAGUGGCGGACGGGUGAGUAACACGUGGGUAACCUGCCCUUAAGUGGGGGAUAACAUUUGGAAACAGAUGCUAAUACCGCAUAGAUCCAAGAACCGCAUGGUUCUUGGCUGAAAGAUGGCGUAAGCUAUCGCUUUUGGAUGGACCCGCGGCGUAUUAGCUAGUUGGUGAGGUAAUGGCUCACCAAGGCGAUGAUACGUAGCCGAACUGAGAGGUUGAUCGGCCACAUUGGGACUGAGACACGGCCCAAACUCCUACGGGAGGCAGCAGUAGGGAAUCUUCCACAAUGGACGCAAGUCUGAUGGAGCAACGCCGCGUGAGUGAAGAAGGCUUUCGGGUCGUAAAACUCUGUUGUUGGAGAAGAAUGGUCGGCAGAGUAACUGUUGUCGGCGUGACGGUAUCCAACCAGAAAGCCACGGCUAACUACGUGCCAGCAGCCGCGGUAAUACGUAGGUGGCAAGCGUUAUCCGGAUUUAUUGGGCGUAAAGCGAGCGCAGGCGGUUUUUUAAGUCUGAUGUGAAAGCCCUCGGCUUAACCGAGGAAGCGCAUCGGAAACUGGGAAACUUGAGUGCAGAAGAGGACAGUGGAACUCCAUGUGUAGCGGUGAAAUGCGUAGAUAUAUGGAAGAACACCAGUGGCGAAGGCGGCUGUCUGGUCUGUAACUGACGCUGAGGCUCGAAAGCAUGGGUAGCGAACAGGAUUAGAUACCCUGGUAGUCCAUGCCGUAAACGAUGAAUGCUAGGUGUUGGAGGGUUUCCGCCCUUCAGUGCCGCAGCUAACGCAUUAAGCAUUCCGCCUGGGGAGUACGACCGCAAGGUUGAAACUCAAAGGAAUUGACGGGGGCCCGCACAAGCGGUGGAGCAUGUGGUUUAAUUCGAAGCAACGCGAAGAACCUUACCAGGUCUUGACAUCUUUUGAUCACCUGAGAAAUCAGGUUUCCCCUUCGGGGGCAAAAUGACAGGGGGGGCCAUGGGUUGUCGUCAGCUCGUGUCGUGAGAAUGUUUGGGGNUUAAAGGUCCCCCGCAACGNAGGCGCAACCCUUUUAUUGGANNCUAGNNUUGCCCNAAGGGC
rnacentral:rRNA from 2 species